rnacentral:rRNA from 1 species
UACUAUCGAGCCAAGAAAAGUUUCUAAGUUUAGUAAUAAUUGCCCGUACCGUAAACCGACACAGGUGGGUGGGAUGAGUAUUCUAAGGCGCGUGGAAGAACUCUCUUUAAGGAACUCUGCAAAAUAGCACCGUAUCUUCGGUAUAAGGUGUGCCUAACUUUGUAUUUAGAUUCACUCCCAAAGCAAAGAAGGUUACAACAAAGAGUCCCUCCCGACUGUUUACCAUAAACACAGCACUCUGCUAACACGUAAGUGGAUGUAUAGGGUGUGA